AGCGAACGCUGGCGGCAGGCCUAAUACAUGCAAGUCGAGCGGCCCUUCGGGGUAGCGGCAGACGGGUGAGUAACGCGUGGGAACGUGCCCUUUGGUACGGAACAACUGAGGGAAACUUCAGCUAAUACCGUAUGUGCCCGUUCGGGGGAAAGAUUUAUCGCCAUUGGAGCGGCCCGCGUUAGAUUAGCUAGUUGGUGGGG
rnacentral:rRNA from 1 species